UCUUGAUUGGUCUAGUGGUUAGGAUACCUGCUUGUCAACGAUUCUGUCGAAUGAUUAAGUGCGCAGGUGGCCGGGGUUCGAUUCCCCGAUCGAGAG